UUACCAAUGAAGUGAUGAAGAUUGUAACCAGAGGUGCCACAACGUCUGAUCCAGCCAGCGCAAGGAUCAUACUUGAAGGAACAGAAGUCCUAGCAGACCUGGAUGUACCCAGAGCCUGUGCCUUGCUAAUGGGGCUGAUAUAUGCACUCAACCUCAGCUACCCAAAAGAACUGAAAAACACUUUUGAAGUGUUUCAAAAGAUAUUCCUCGAGCUGGAUGAUCUGAAAGCCAGUCCUAAGGAAGAAUAAUGGGACAUUCAUUCAUUCAUGGUGGACCGUGUGUGUCUGGUAUAAGUCCUGCAAUCAUCCAUGUCCUUUUUGGUGGCUCACCUGAAACAGCUACGGUUCAGAUUGAGGAUUGCCCUGAUAUUGAUAUCCGCAGCACUAUUCAGCUGCUUGAUGGCACUGCUGAAUUAACAGAACUGCAACGAAGAAAUGUUCUCGAGCUAGCCCUGACUUGGGACCUGCCAGGUGUCACACAAACCAAUAGAAAGUGGCUGUAUGAACGUCUGCUAUUCCACGCUAAAAAUAAAAGAGCCGAGCGUCGACAGGCGGUGUCUUUGACUGGAUGUUACCUCGCUGUGAACACACAGGGUUCAUAUUUGAAGAUAGGAACCAACCAAAUAUUUGUUUUGUCAGACUGUAGAAUCUGAAUUUUGUGUGAACAACAAGGAGCCAUGGAUCCAGCCUGCCUUAGUACCAGCUGAGCAUCACAGCCUACCUCAGUGUUCUUGCUGACCAUGUCGUCUCUUUCAGACCACAUCUGCUGAUGGCUGCUUCCAGCAGGAUAACACACCACUGAUUUCAAACUUUUUCUUUAACAUUAUGAAUUCACUGCGAUCAGACGAUCGCCACAGUCACCCUAUGAAACACAAACCUUUAGGAUGUUCUGGAAAUCUUCAGUAACUUUGGGUAUUAUGUCAGUUUGGACCAAAAUAUCUGAGAAAUGUUUCCAGUAUAUUUUUUUUUAAAUCUAUGACAUGAAGAAGUGUAUUCAUAACCUUGCCCCUCCUUAUCUCUGUGAUCUGCUUUAUAUCACCACUGUUUCCUGCUCUCUCAGAUCUUCAUCUUGUUGCUCCUUCUCUCACCUUAUCACUGUGGGGCACAGAGCUUUCAGUCGCUCUGCUCCUCGGCUCUGAAACUCAAUUCCUUCAGUCCAAAGAAAUAUUGAUUCCCCUUUUUUAAGUCACAACUCAAAACCUACUUGUUUUAACUGGCUUCCUCACUUUAAUACUGAUUUUACUUGAUGUCAAAUCUUGUUUAUUUUAUGUGUGUUUUGUUUUUAUUUGUUGUUUUUUUGUAUUUUAAUUUAUUAGAGUCUAUUUUAAUCUACUGUUUUAUUGACAUCUUUGUCUCUUUUUAAGGUGACCUUGG